CCUACGGGAGGCAGCAGUGGGGGAUAUUGCACAAUGGGGGAAACCCUGAUGCAGCGACGCCGCGUGUGGGAAGACGGUCCUCUGGAUUGUAAACCACUGUCCCCAGGGACGAAGAUGACGGUACCUGGGGAGGAAGCUCCGGCUAACUACGUGCCAGCAGCCGCGGUAAUACGUAGGGAGCGAGCGUUGUCCGGAAUUACUGGGUGUAAAGGGAGCGUAGGCGGGGAUGCAAGUUGGGGGUCAAAACUACCGGCUCAACUGGGAGUCGCACUCAAAACUGCAGCUCUUGAGUGAAGUAGAGGCAGGCGGAAUGCGUGGUGUAGCGGUGAAAUGCGUAGAUAUUAGGCGGAACACCAGUGGCGAAGGCGGCCUGCUGGGCUUUUACUGACGCUGAGGCUCGAAAGUGUGGGGAGCAAACAGGAUUAGAUACCCUUGUAGUC
rnacentral:rRNA from 1 species